AUACGUAGGGGGCGAGCGUUGUCCGGAAUGAUUGGGCGUAAAGGGCGCGUAGGCGGCGCGGUAAGUCUGGAGUGAAAGUCCUGCUUUCAAGGUGGGAACUGCUUUGGAUACUGCCGCGCUUGAGUGCAGGAGAGGUUAUCGGAAUUCCCGGUGUAGCGGUGAAAUGCGUAGAGAUCGGGAGGAACACCAGUGGCGAAGGCGGGUAACUGGACUGCAACUGACGCUGAGGCGCGAAAGUGUGGGGAGCAAACAGGAUUAGAUACCCUGGUAGUCCACACUGUAAACGAUGAAUGCUAGGUGUAAGAGGUAUCGACCCCUUUUGUGCCGGAGUCAACACAAUAAGCAUUCCGCCUGGGGAGUACGGCCGCAAGGUUGAAACUCAAAGGAAUUGACGGGG
rnacentral:rRNA from 1 species